GAGAGCCAAAUGAAUCGAAAGAUUCAGUUUGGUUCGGGAAGAGAUCAUAAAAGUUGUAAGACCAUACUACUUAUAU
rfam:Oryza punctata chromosome 5, whole genome shotgun sequence.